UUGAAUCUAUUUUUAAUCCUUAGCAUUCUUCUGGCUUCCAGAUUUCAAGAAGGUUGAAAGAUGCCUUGUUGCCUUAUUCUCCAGGGCUUGUAUCUUCUUACUCAGAAUGCCAAGGAGGGGGACUCAUAAUGUCUUCAAUUUAGAGCUGUAUCUUUGCUUAAAAUUCACAUGAAGUUCUUUGCUAAAGUUCUGGCAACAAAGUUGGAGAAACUUAAUGUCUAAGUUGUUUUAGCUGAUCGAACAACAUUUGGAAUUCUCUCUGAAUCCUAAAACUUUGGAAAGUUGUUAGUUUGUGUUAUCCAGAAUCAGUCAAGCUCCUUUCACUUUCCUGGAAUCUCUGUGGGCUGAAUUACUUGAAUAUUUUUACUCUUGCAGACAUCUGCAUUCUGCCACGGAGAUAAAUGUGAGAAAAUUCUAUUUGUAUUUUACUGCUUCAGAAGAGUUUGCUGUAAGACACUCUACAACAGACAAAGUCAACUACCAGAGGUGGGGAUUUCAGACAACAUCUUUUAAUGUAGCUGUGAAUAGAAAGAAAAGAGGAGAAAUUCUGAACCCAUCUCUAGGUGAUCUCAAAGAAAAAUACCAAAGGGGAAUUCAGGGACCAAAGGUUUACUUUAUCAGAGCACUGAGGCUGUAAUAGGAAGAUAGGAGUAAUCACCUCCAAGAUUUCUGUCACCUCAAUCAACCUUCAAGGGAAAAUCAUCACAAGAGAGCGUCUGAGGCUCACGAAGAUGUGAGUGAUAACAUGAGGCAGUCAUAAGGCAAGAGUCAUGUGUCUCCAGACAUCUUCCAAAUGGACUGAGAGUUGUUGUUGCUUCUUCUGAUCUCCUGAGCCACUUCCAAUCCAGAUGGGAAACAGAAGAACAUGGAGAUUUUGCAAUUUGAGCUGAGCCAGGCAGGAGCUCUUUGGCAGAAGAAGAGGCCUCCCGAGGGAUAAAUACAAUCCAGAAGAUGACUGCAGAGGGAAAUGUGACCUGCAGCAUGCACAAUCUCCACUGUGAAACAAACUGCUGCUGGACCUGUACGCCUCUUUAGUUCCCACGCCACAUAACAACUGCACUGGGCUAGGAUGCUCCGUGGAAGACAGCAUCUUGUAAAAGCAGUCGGGGUCUACCAGAAAACACCACAAUAAACACCACAAAACACAAGAAGGAGUCCGCCAGCUGCAGAAAGCCAACAGCAGGAUCAAAAGAGAAAUGUCCCAGGUACA